UGUUUUAUGUUUAAGUGCACAGUACUCUCACAACAGCAGGUCUGGGGUUCGAUUCCUUAGAGAUGCAUUUCUUUUAUUCUCUCUCCUAUCCUAUUCAUUCUCAUUUUCUAUGGAAGAACGCUCGGUUAACAGCCUUCCCAGGCUACAGGCAUCGCUUCCUUCAAUUUUACUUCCGAUUUCGCAUUCAAUUAUUUUCUAUUUUCAUUCAUUUUCUCAGCGACUCCCAUCGCAUCCUACUAGAUCGAAGAAGCAAGAACCCCUGCCCCAGACUACUGUGGUAGCAAAGGUCAUAUUUGCCGCAGGGAAAAUGAUUCAGUCCAAAGCAAAGCUCACAGAUACACUUCCAGUAUUACAUUAAAGGUGAAGACGAUGAUGAGCCCCACUUCCGUGAAAUGUUUUGACAUGAUAGUGAUUAUCAUCUACUACAAGUUGAGGGAGCCUCAGUGCACAUUCAUAUUAACUGGAGCAGCCUAUAUCAAUGAACAAUGGGAAGGCAACCCAAUAUAUUAUGGACCGAAAGGGGGAUUUGGCAGAGGUACGAGUGCAUCAAACGUGAUUGUGAUUACGUAAGAAGCUUAUUAAGUCACUCGGGAGUUGGAUCAUAGAAUGAUGAGAUGAAAACAGUUAAGGCAUCAAAAGAGAUGUGGAAUAGAGUUUAUGCGGAGUAUGGGAGAUAUGUAAGGUAUAAAAAUCGGACAUUAUCUACUUAUGAUUGUUUGAAAGACCUCAUUUGGCGGGAUGAUGAUCAGGUUUAAGAGAAGGCUGAAAGUGUAGGUUUAGGACAUCUAGUUAGGCGGGCAAAAUGGGUUGGCAUGCUGGGUUCAGGUUGACCUGCUUAGCUUGCCAACCCGUUAGGGUCAACCUGAAUCUGAUACAUUUAGUUAAAUAGGUCAAACGAUUAAACCCAAACACGACAUACUAAUUUAUCGGGUAACCCAACUUGACUUGUUUAAAUAAAACCCAUAAACAAAGAGAGACUGAGGAAACCUAGAAAAGAUUCGUGAUUUGGAACGUUGAAGACAACAAAGGCUGCUUGCUAUCGGUGUUUCUUGUCAAGGAUGACAUGAACGAGGUCGCCGCAGAGGAAUUCGAGAAAUUAAUUGUAUUUGAAGAGUUCUUCCUCUCAAUGACACCAUUCUUGGGCACGCCGUAUUGGUAUUGAUUGGUGUUGUGGUGGUGAGAAAGAGGUCGCAUCUGUUGGAUUGGAGAUGACGGACUUCUGUUUGAGGGUUAGGCCUUUUAGUUUAUUUUAGUUUAUUUUUUAAUUUAAUUUUAGUUGUUUUUAACCAGUUGACCCAUUUGACGCGUUUAUUAAAUGGGUCAUAAACAUGUUGACCUAAACUUAAAACCCUAUAACUUUGUGUCGUGUUCGUAUCGAAUUCGCGAGUCGUGUAAAAAAUUGUCAGCCCUACAUUUAAUAGAAGUAAUGCUCUCAUAUUUUGUACUA